GCGUUGACGUUGUGUUGACCAAGACUCUUCCCUCUUCCCCUCCCGACCCCCGUACCCAAUUUUUUCCCCUUUUCCCCCAUUUUAGGAGCUACUUUGUUACAAAUCCCACCUCCCCGGGGAAUUCCGUCUCCUCUGGCGGCGCCGUUUCCCCAGCCCCCUGCUCUCCCUGCUCUACGCCGACCUCACGGCCGACGGGCUGCGCGAGUUGGCCGUCGUCUGCCUCAAGGGCCUCCACGUCCUGCAGCACAGCCUGGAACCCACGGCCCGGCGGGUCCUGGAGCGGCUGCGGAGACGCGCGGAACGACGGGCCUUGGAAGGGUGAAGACCUUCAUCUUCCAUCGUCAGCGACGGACCCAAACUCGGCCCUUUUCACCCCAAAAAUGAAUAAAAUAACGCAAAACCCCC